CGGCCCGCCGCCGCGGUGUGCGUUGGCAUCCUGCCCGGCCUGGGCGCGUACUCGGGCAGCAGCGACUCCGAGUCCAGCAGCGACAGCGAAGUUUAACCUAUGGCACCCCAGCGCCAACAGAGGAUUUUCACAUUUUGCAGAGAUAAUGUGACUGAAGGGACAUUUAAGUUCACUGAGGACUCAAGCAAGAGGAAGACGUUGAGCUCUUAUAAAAGCCACCUCUUAAACUAAGGAAUACAACAUGAGCUGAGGAGGAUGAAAGAUGUUAAGACCCUUUUUUUUUCUCUAAAGCUGCACUUUUGUGUGCUGGGAGUUUUGUUUUUCUUUUGUAUGAACAGUUCCGUGUGUACAAACAACCCCUGUCAGCUUUAUGAGUGUGAGGUCGACACCUGGAAAAAACGAAUAAAAACAAAUUUGUAAUGUA